CUGCCGCCUUGCAGUUUGAUCUCAGACUGCUGCGCUAGCAAUCAGCGAGACUCCGUGGGCGUAGGACCCUCCGAGCCAGGUGCAGGAUAUAAUCUCGUAGUGCGCCGUUUUAUAAGCCCCUUGGAAAAGCGCAGUAUUCGGGUGGGAGUGACCCGAUUUUCCAGGUGCGUCCGUCACCCCUUUCUUUGACUCGGAAAGGGAACUUCCUGACCCCUUGCGCUUCCGGAGUGAGGCAAUGCCUCGCCCUGCUUCGGCUGGCGCACGGUGCACGCACCCACUGACCUGCGCCCACUGUCUGGCACUCGCUAGUGAGAUGAACCCGGUACCUCAGAUGGAAAUGCAGAAAUCACCCGUCUUCUGCGUGGCUCACGCUGGGAGCCGUAGACCGGAGCUGUUCCUAUUCGGCCAUCUUGGCUCCCGGAUCUCUGUGUAAACCUUCUUUUAUUUUUAAAAGAUAUUCACUGUCUCUUACUAAAGCUUCCUGUUCAAAGUCUGGCUGAGAAUUUUUGCUGCUUCUUUCCCUACCUCCUCAUUUCCGAAGGUUGUUUUGUUUUGAGGCCUGGUCGCAAUUGUUGAUGUCACUAUAUGUAUUUUGGAAAAAAGACACAAGCAUGCAUCUAUAGAUUUAACUUUUUUCUCGGAGGAAGAACUUACUGGCUAUGGUACUAUAUUGUGAAAGCCAAGGUUCUUCGUUAAUUUAGACAACUUAAGGGUACCCUGAGGAGAUGAGAUCAGGACCUUCAGAUUACGAGACUCACACCUUGCUGGCUGCGCUAAGGGGGCUCCUGAGGAGAUGAGAUCAAACAUAGGAAGUAAAAGGGAGUCUCCAAGAUGUCCACAUUUGAAUCUCUGGAACCUGUGAAUAUGUUACUUUAUAUGGCAAAAGGAACUUUGCAGGUGUGAGAAAAGUUGAGGACCUUGAGAUGGGGAGAUCAUCCUGGAUUAUUUGAAUAAGCCCAAAUUCAUCAAAUGAAUUCUUAAAAGAACCUUUUCUCUGAGAUGAGAGUCAGAGGGAGAUGUGGCUAUGGAAGAAUGGUCAGAGAGCAAUGCAAAGGUGCUGGCUUUGAAGAUGGAAGAAGGGGCCAUAAGCCAAGAAGUAUGGUUUGUUUCUAGGAGCUGGAAGAGGCAAGAAGACAUAUUCUCCUCUAGACCCUCCAGAAGAAAUGCAGCCUCACUGACACCUUAAUUUUAGCCCUGAAAGACCCAUUUUAGAACUCUGACCUACAGAACUGUAAGAUCGUAAGUUUGUAGUGUUGUAAGCCACUAAAUUUGUGGUAAUUUAUUAUAGCAGUAACAGAAAAUCAAUACAUGCUUUAUGCAGGUAGUACUAAAUUACAUAUUGCAGUUUUAUGUUUGUUUGAGGACAGCUCUUUCUUUAUUUUUAGAGAUAGCACCUUGCUCUGUCACCAGGCCGGAGUGCAGCAGUGUGAUGAUAGCUCACUGGAACCUCGAAUUCCUGGGCUUAAUCCAUCUUCCCACCUAUGUCUCCCACAUGCAUGUAGCUAGGACUAGAUGCAUGUGCCAGCAUACCCGGCUAAUUUUUUUUGGGUUUUUUUUUUUUUUCUAGAGAUGGGGUCUCACUAUUUUUCCCAAGCUGAUCUCAAACUCCUGUGCUCAAGCAAUCCUCCUGCGUUGGCCCUGCCAAAGUUCUCGGAUUACAGGUAUAAGCCACCACACCUGGCUGGACAGCUCUUUCAAGGACUUUCUGUUUUUAAUUUAAAAUCUAAUUUUAAUUUUAAUUUAGUUUUUAAAAUUAAAACAAUAUACUUUGAACAUCUGUGCAUCAAAAGACCCUACCAACAGAGUGAAGAGGUAAUCGAUGGCAUGGGAGAAAAUAUUUGCAGAUUAUAUAUCUUAUAAGGGAUUAAUAUCCCGAAUAAAUAAAGAACUCCUACAAAUAAUAAAAAACCAAGCAACUUGAUUAAAAAAUAGGCAAAGAAUUGGAUAGAGAUUUCUCUAAAGAAGAUAUACAAAUGGCCAAUAUACACAUAAAAAGAUGCUCAGUCACUAAUCAUUAGGGAAAGGCAAAUCAAAAUCUCAAUGCAAAUCAAAAUCACUUCAUAUGCAUUAGGAUGGCUAUUAUUAAAAAAACAGAAACUAAAACUCAGUGAGAAUGGGUAUGAAGUUACUUGAAGUUAUUCCAAUGCAUUGUUAGUGGGAAUGUAAAAUCGUGCAGCUGCUGUGGAAAACAGUAUGAUGAUUCAGCAAAAAAUUAAACAAUUACUUUAUGAUCUAGCAGUUUGACUUCUGGGUAUAUACCUAAGAGAACUGAAAGCAGAGGCACAAACAGAUAUUCGUACACUCAUGUUUAUAGCAGCAUUAUCACAAUAGCCAAAGUUGGAAAUGAACCAAAUAUACAUUGACAGAUGAAUGGUAAACAAUACGUGCUCUAUACAUACAAUGGAAUAUUAUUCAGCCUUAAAAAGGAAUGAAAUUGGCCAGGCACAGUGGCUCACGCCUGUAAUCCCAGCACUUUGGGAGGCCAAGGCAGGUGGAUCACAAGGUCAGGAGUUCAAGACCAGUCUGGCCAAGAUGGUGAAGCCUGGUCUCUACUAAAAAUAAAAAAAUUAUGUGGUGGCAGGCACCUGUAAUCCCAGCUGCUUGGGAGGCUGAGGCAGAGAAUUGCUUGAACCUGGGAGGUGGAGGUUGCAAUGAGCCGAGAUCGCACCACUGCACUCCAGCCUGGGUGACAGAGCAAGACUCUGUCUCAAAAAAAAAAAAAAAAAAAAAAAAAGAACAAAAGAAGAAAAGAAAAAGGAAUGAAACUGGGGAUCCCAGAUCGAAGAUGGCCGAGUAGGAACAGCUCCAGUCUGCAGCUCCUAGCAAGAUCAAUGCAGAAGGUGGGUGAUUUCUGCAUUUCCAACUGAGGUACACAGCUCAUCUCAUUGGCACUGGUUAGACAGUGGGUGGAGCUCAUGGAGUGCUAGCCAAAGCAGGGUGGGGCAUCAUCUCACCCAGGAAGUGCAAGGGGUUGGGGAACUCCCUCCCCUAGGCAAGGGAAGCCGUAAGGGACUGUGCCAUGAGGGAUGUAGCUGUCACACAGAUACCACGCUUUUCCCAUGGUCUUUGCAACCCACAGACCAGGAGAUUCCCUUGGGUGCCUACCCCACCAGGGCUCUGGGUUUCAAGCACAAAACUGGGCGGCUGUUUGGGCAGACACUGAGCUAGCUGCAGGAGUUUCUUUUUUUCCAUACCCCAGUGGUGCCUGGAAUGCCAGUGAGACAGAUCGUUCACUCUACUGGAAAGGGGGCUGAAGCCCAUGGAGCCCAGCAAGCUAAGAUCUGCUGGCUUGAAAUUCUCACUGCCAGCACAGUAGUCUGAAGUCGACCUGGGACACUCAAGCUUGGUUGGGGGAGGGGUGUCUGCCAUUACUGAGGCUUGAGUAGGCAGUUUUCCCUUCACCAUGUAGACAUAGCUGCCUGGAAGUUUGGACUGGGCAGAGUCCACCACAGCUUUGCAAAGCCACUGUAGCCAGACUACCUCUCUAGAUUCUUCCUCUCUGAGCAGGGCAUCUCUGAAAGAAAGGCAGCAGCCCCAGUCAGGGGCUUAUAGAUAAAACUUUCCUCUGCCUGGGAUAGAGCACCUGGGGGAAGGGGUGGCUGCGGACACAGCUUCAGCAGACUUAAAAGUUCCUGCCUGGUGACUCUGAAGUGAGCAGCAGAUCUCCCAGCACAGAGCUUGAGUUCUGCUAAGGGACAGACUGCCUCCUCAAGUGGGUCCCUGACCCCUGUGCCUCUUGACUGGGAGACACUUCCCAGCCAGGGUUGACCGACACCUCAUACAGGAGAGCUCCAGCUGGCAUUUGGCAAAUGCCCCUCUGGGACAAAACUUCCAGAGGAAGGAACAGGCAGCAGUCUGCUAUUCUGCAGCCUCCACUGGUGAUACCCCAGGCAAACCGGUUCUGGAGUGGACCUCCAGCAGACCUGCAGCAGAGGGGCCUGACUGUUAGAAGGAAAACUAACAAACAGAAAGGAAUAGCAUCAAUGUCAACAAACAGGAUGACCACACAAACCCCGUCCAAAGGUCACCAACAUCAAAGACCAAAGGUAGUUAAAUCCACAAAGAUGAGGAAAAACCAAUGCGAAAAGGCUGAAAACUCCAAAAACCAGAAGUCCUCUUCUCCUCCAAAGGAUCACAACUUCUCACCAGCAAGGGAUGGAAAAUGAGUUUGAUGAACUGACAGAAGUAGGCUUCAGAAUGUGGGUAAUAACAAAUUCCUCUGAGCUAAAGGAGCAUGUUCUAACCCAAAGCAAGGAAGCUAAGAACCUUGAAAAAAGGUUAGAGGAAUUGCUAACUAGAAUAACCAGUUUAGAGAAGAACAUAAAUGGCCUGAUGGAGCUGCAAAUCACAGCAUGAGAACUUUGUGAAGCACACACAAGUAUCAGUAGCCAAAUUGAUCAAGCAGAAGAAAGGAUGUCGGAGAUUGAAGAUCAACUUAAUGAAAUAAAGCGUGAAGACAAUAUUAGAGAAAAAAGAAUGAAAAGGAACAAACAGAGCCUCCAGGAAAUAUGGGACUAUGUGUAAAGACCAAACCUAUGUUUGAUUGGUAUACCUGAAAGUGACAGGGAGAAUGUAACCAAGUUGGAAAACACUCUUCAGGAUAUUAUCCAGGAGAACUUCCCCGAUCUAGCAAGACAGGCCAACAUUCAAAUUCAGGAAAUACAGAGAACACCACAAAGACACUUCUCGAGAAGAGCAACCCCAAGACACAUAAUCAUCAGAUUCACCGAGGCUGAAAUGAAGGAAAAAGUGUUAAGGGCACCCAGAGAGAAAGGUCGGGUUACCCACAAAGGGAAGCCCAUCAGACUAACAGCAGAUCUCUCUGCAGAAACCCUAAAAGCCAGAAGAGAGUGGGGGCCAAUAUUCAACAUUCUUAAAAAAAAGAAUUUUCAACCCAGAAUUUCACAUCCAGCCAAAUUAAGCUUUGUAAGCGAAGGAGAAAUAAAAUCCUUUACAGACAAGCAAAUGCUGAGAGAUUUUUGUCUCACUACCAGGCCUGCCUUACAAGAGCUCCCGAAGGAAGCACUAAAUAUGGAAAGGAAAAACUGGUACUAGCCACUGCAAAAACAUACCAUUUAAAUAAAGACCAUCAACACUGUAAAGAAACUGCAUCAACUAAUGGGCAAAAUAACCAGCUAGCAUCAUAAUGACAGGAUCAAAUUCACACAUAACAAUAACAACUUUAAAUGUAAAUGGGCUCAAUGCCCCAAUUAAAAGACACAGACUGGCAAAUUGGAUAAAGAGUCAAGACCAUCAGUGUGCUGUAUUCAGGAGACCCGUCUCAUGUGCAAAGACACACGUGGGCUUGAAAUAAAGGGAUGGAGGAAUAUUUACCAAGCAAAUGGAAAUCAAAAAAUAAAAACAAUUAAAAAAAGGAGGAGUUACAAUCCUAGUCUUUGAUAAAACAGACUUUAAACCAACAAAGAUAAAAAAGACAAAGAAGGGCAUUACAUAAUGGUAAAGGGAAUAAUGCAACAAAAAGAGCUGACUAUCAUAAAUACAUAUGCACCCAAUACAGGAGCACUCAGAUUCAUAAAGCAAGUUCUUAGAGACCUACAUAGAGACUUAGAUUCCCACACAAUAAUAGUGGGAGACUUUAACACCCUUCCAUCAAUAUUAGAUCAAUGAGACAGAAAAUUAACAAGGAUAUUCAGGACUUGAACUCAGCUCUGGACUAAGCAGACCUAAUAGACAUCUACAGAACUCUUCACCCCAAAUCAAGAGAAUAUACAUUCUUCUCAGCACUACAUGGCACUUAUUCUAAAACUGACCACAUAAUUGAAAGUAAAACACUCCUCAGCAAAUGCGAAAGAAUGGAAAUCAUAACAAACAGUUUCUCAGACCACAGUGCAAUCAAAUUAGAACUCAGGAUUAAGAAACUCACUCAAAACCACACAACUACAUGGAAACUGAACAACCUGCUCCUGAAUGACUACUGGAUAAAUAACAAAAUUAAGACAGAAAUAAAUAAGUUAUUUGCAACCGAUGAGAGCAAAGACACAACAUACCAGAAUCUCUGGGACACAGCUAGAGGGAAAUUUAUAGCACUAAAUGCCCACAAGAGAAAGCAGGAAAGAUCUAAAAUCGACACCCUAACAUCACAAUUAAAAGAACUAGAGAAGCAAGAUCAAACAAAUGCAAAAGCUAGCAGAAGACAAAAAAAUAACUAGGAUCAGAGCAGAAAUGAAGGAGAUAGAGACACAAAAUCCCUUCAAAAAAUCAAUGAAUCCAGGAGCUGGUUUUUUGAAAAGCUUAACAAAAUAGAUAGACCACUAGCCAGACUAAUAAAGAAGAAAAGAGAGAAGAAUCAAAUAGACACAAUAAAAAAUGAUAAAGGGGAUAUCACCACUGAUCCACAGAAAUACAAACUACCGUCAGAGAAUAAACACCUCCACGCAAAUAAACUAGAAAAUCUAGAAGAAAUGGAUAAAUUCCUGGACACAUACAUGCUCCAAAGACUAAGCCAGGAAGAAGUCGAAUCUCUGAAUAGACCAAUAACAAGUUCUGAAAUUGAGGCAGUAAUUAAUGGCCUACCAACCAAAAAAAGCCCAGGACCAGAUUCACAGUCGAAUUCUACCAGAGGUACAAAGAGGAGCUGGUACCAUUCCUUCUGAAAUUAUUCCAAACAAUACAAAAAGAGGGCCUCCUCCCUAACUCAUUUUAUGAGGCCAGCAUCAUCCUGAUACCAAAACCUGGCAGAGACACAACAAAAAAAGAAAAUUUCAGGCCAAUAUCUCUGAUGAAUAUCUAUGUGAAAAUCCUCAAAAAAAUACUGGCAAACUGAAUCCAGCAGCACAUCAAAAAGCUCACCCACCACCAUCAGGUCGGCUUCAACCCUGGGGUACAAGGCUGGUUCAACAUACACAAAUCAAUAAACACAAUCAAUCACAUAAACAGAACCAAGAACAAUAACCACAUGAUUAUCUCAGUAGAUGCAGAAAAGGCCUUUGAUAAAAUUCAACACCUCUUCAUGCUAAAAACUCUCAAUAAACUAGGUAUUGAUGGAACAUAUCUCAAAAUAAUAAGAGCUAUUUAUGACAAACCCACAGCCAAUAUCAUACUGAAUGGGCAAAAGCUGGAAGCAUUCCCUUUGAAAACCAGCACAAGACAAGGAUGCCCUCUCUCACCACUCCUAUUCAACAUAGUAUUAGAACUUCUGGCCAGGGCAAUCAGGCAAGUGAGAGAAAUGAAGGGUAUCCAAAUAGGAAGAGAGGAAGUCAAAUUGUCUCUGUUUGCAGAUGACAUAAUUGUAUAUUUCGAAAAUCCCAUCAUCUCAGCCCCAAAUCUCCUUAAGCUGAUAAGGACUUCAGCAAAAUCUCAGGUUACAAAAUCGAUGUGCAAAAAUCACAAGCAUUCCUAUACAUCAAUAAUAGACGAACAGAGAGCCAAAUCCUGAGUGAACUCCCAUUCACAAUUGCUACAAAGAGAAUAAAAUACCCAGGAAUACAACUUACAAGGGAUGUGAAGGACCUCUUCAAGGAGAACUGCAAACCACUGCUCAAGGAAAUAAGAGAGGAUACAAACAAAUGGAAAAACAUUCCAUGCUGAUGGAUGGGAUGAAUCAAUAUUGUGAAAAUGGCCAUACUUCCCAAAGUAAUUUAUAGAUUCAGUGCUAUUCCCAUUAAGCUACCAUUGACUUUUUUCACAGAAUUAGAAAAAACUACUUUAAAUUUCAUAUGGAACAAAAAAAGAGCCCAUAUAGCCAAGACAAUCCUAAGCAAAAGAACAAAGCUGGAGGCAUCACGCUACCUGACUUCAAACUAUACUACAAGUCUACAGUAGCCAAAACAGCAUGGUAUUGGUACCAAAACAGACAUAUAAACCAAUGGAACAGGACAGAGGCCUCAAAAAUAACGCCACACAUCUACAGCCAUCUGAUCUUUGACAAACCUGACAAAAACAAGCAAUGAGGAAAGGAUUCCCUAUUUAAUAAAUGGUGUUGGGAAAACUGGCUAGUCAUAUGCAGAAAACUGAAAUUGGACCCCUUCCUUACACCUUAUACAAAAAUUAACUUAAGAUGGAUUAAAUACUUAAACAUAAGUCCUAAAACCAUAAAAACCCUAGAAGAAAACCUAGGCAAUACCAUUCAGGACAUAGGCAUGGGCAAAGACUUCAUGACUAAAACACCAAAAGCAAUGGUAACAAAAGCCAAAAUUGACAAAUGAUAUCUAAUUAAACUAAAGAGCUUCUGCACAGCAAAAGUAACUACCAUCAGAGUGAACAAACUACCUACAGAAUGGGGGAAAAUUUUUGCAAUCUAUCAAUCUGACAAAUGGCUAAUAUCCAGAAUCUACAAAGAACUUAAACACAUUUACAAGAAAAAAGUGGGCAAAGGAUAUGAACAGACACUUCUCAAAAGAAGACAUAUAUGCAGCCAAAAAACAUAUGAAAAAAAGCUCAUCAUCACUGGUCAUUAGAGAAAUGCAAAUCAAAACCACAAUGAGAUACCAUCUCACGCCAGUUAGAAUGGAGAUCAUGAAAAAGUCAGGAAACAACAGAUGCUGGAGAGGAUGUGGAAAAAUAGAAACCCUUUUACAUUGUUGGUGAGAGUAUAAAUUAGUUCAGCCACUGGGGAAGACAGUGUGGUGAUUCCUCAAGGAUCUAGAACCAGAAAUACCAUUUGACCCAGCCAUCUCAUUACUGGGUAUAUACCUAAAGGAUUACAAAUCAUUCUACUAUAAAGACACAUGCACACGUAUGUUUAUUGCAGCACUGUUCACAAUAACAAAGACUUGGAACCAACCCAAAUGCCCAUCAAUGAUAGACUGGAUUAAGAAAAUGUGGCACAUAUACACCAUGGAAUAUUAUGCAGCCAUAAAAAAGGAUGAGCUCAUGUCAUUUGCAGGGACAUGGAUGAAGCUGGAAACCAUCAUUCUCAGCAAACUAACACAGGAACAGAAAACCAAAAACCAUGUGUUCUCACUCAUAAGUGGGAGUUGAACAAUGAGAACACAUGGACACAGGGAGGGAACACCACAUACCGGGGCCUGUUGGGGUGUAGGGGGAUAGGGGAGGGAUAGCAUUAGGAGAAAUACUUAAUGUAGAUGACAGGUUGAUGGGUGCAGCAAACCACCAUGGAUCAUGUAUACCUAUGUAACAAACCUGCACGUUCUGCCCAUGUAUCCCAGAACUUAAAAUAUAAAUAAAUAACAAAAAAGAAUGAAAGUUUGACACCUUUUGUAAUACAGAUAAGCCUUGCAGAUAUUAUUAUAGGUGAAAUAAAGCAGACAUGAAAAGAACUAUCCUAUGAUGCUUAUUUCUGAGAGAUACCUAAAGUAGUCAAAUUCACAGAGACAAAAAGUAGCAUGGUGGUUGCCAGGGGCUGGAAGAAGGGGGAAUGGGAAUUAUUGUUUAAUGAGUAAGAAGUUCAGUUUAGAAAGAUCAAAAAGUUCUGGAGAUAGAUGGUGGUGAUGAUUU